CUCAAAUAAAUUGACGGGGCGCACAAGCAGUGGAGUAUGUGGUUUAAUUCGAAGCAACGCGAAGAACCUUACCAGGUCUUGACAUCCCGAUGAAAGCAUUAGAGAUAGUGCCCCUCUUCGGAGCAUCGGAGACAGGUGGUGCAUGGUUGUCGUCAGCUCGUGUCGUGAGAUGUUGGGUUAAGUCCCGCAACGAGCGCAACCCUUGACUUUAGUUGCCAGCAGGUUAAGCUGGGCACUCUAGAGUGACUGCCGGUGACAAACCGGAGGAAGGUGGGGAUGACGUCAAAUCAUCAUGCCCCUUAUGACCUGGGCUACACACGUACUACAAUGGCCGGUACAACGGGAAGCGAAGCCGCGAGGUGGAGCCAAUCCCAGCAAAGCCGGUCUCAGUUCGGAUUGCAGGCUGCAACUCGCCUGCAUGAAGUCGGAAUUGCUAGUAAUCGCGGAUCAGCAUGCCGCGGUGAAUACGUUCCCGGCCUUUGUACACACCGCCCG
rnacentral:rRNA from 1 species